GAUGAACGCUGGCGGCGUGCCUAAUACAUGCAAGUCGAGCGAACAGAUGAGGAGCUUGCUCCUCUGACGUUAGCGGCGGACGGGUGAGUAACACGUGGAUAACCUACCUAUAAGACUGGGAUAACUUCGGGAAACCGGAGCUAAUACCGGAUAAUAUAUUGAACCGCAUGGUUCAAUAGUGAAAGACGGUAUUGCUGUCACUUAUAGAUGGAUCCGCGCCGCAUUAGCUAGUUGGUAAGGUAACGGCUUACCAAGGCAACGAUGCGUAGCCGACCUGAGAGGGUGAUCGGCCACACUGGAACUGAGACACGGUCCAGACUCCUACGGGAGGCAGCAGUAGGGAAUCUUCCGCAAUGGGCGAAAGCUUGACGGAGCAACGCCGCGUGAGUGAUGAAGGUCUUCGGAUCGUAAAACUCUGUUAUUAGGGAAGAACAAAUGUGUAAGUAACUAUGCACGUCUUGACGGUACCUAAUCAGAAAGCCACGGCUAACUACGUG
rnacentral:rRNA from 1 species